rnacentral:rRNA from 1 species
CCUACGGGAGGCAGCAGUCGAGAAUCAUUCACAAUGGGGGAAACCCUGAUGGUGCGACGCCGCGUGGGGGAAUGAAGGUCUUCGGAUUGUAAACCCCUGUCAUGUGGGAGCAAAUUAAAAAGAUAGUACCACAAGAGGAAGAGACGGCUAACUCUGUGCCAGCAGCCGCGGUAAUACAGCGGUCUCAAGCGUUGUUCGGAAUCACUGGGCGUAAAGCGUGCGUAGGCUGUUUCGUAAGUCGUGUGUGAAAGGCGCGGGCUCAACCCGCGGACGGCACAUGAUACUGCGAGACUAGAGUAAGGGAGGGGGAACCGGAAUGCUCGGUGUAGCGGUGAAAUGCGUAGAUAUCGAGAGGAACACUCGUGGCGAAGGCGGGUUCCUGGACAUUAACUGACGCUGAGGCACGAAGGCCAGGGGAGCGAAAGGGAUUAGAUACCCGGGUAGUC